AAAAUGUGGUGCUAUAGUAAACAAUAUUUGACCGUCCGUCAUAUUUGAAUUUUUUUAUGGUUACUAUUGUUAUUAGAUGAUAAAAAUAUGAAUAGUAUUUUAUGUGUACUUAAUUUUUAAAUUUUUUUAGAAUUUUUUUAAAUAAGACGGACGGUCAAACGUUAGGCACGAGACGAAGGGAGUAUUUUAU
rnacentral:pre_miRNA from 1 species